rnacentral:rRNA from 1 species
UACGAAGGGGGCUAGCGUUGUUCGGAAUUACUGGGCGUAAAGCGUGCGCAGGCGGUUUUGUAAGUCUGUCGUGAAAGCCCCGGGCUCAACCUGGGAAUUGCGAUGGAGACUGCAAGGCUUGAAUCUGGCAGAGGGGGGUAGAAUUCCACGUGUAGCAGUGAAAUGCGUAGAGAUGUGGAGGAACACCGAUGGCGAAGGCAGCCCCCUGGGUCAAGAUUGACGCUCAUGCACGAAAGCGUGGGGAGCAAACAGG